GUCCUGGCCUUAAACGAUGGAUGCUUGGUGUUUGGAGUUAUAUAGUCUCCGGGUGCCGUAGCUAACGCGUUAAGCAUCCCGCCUGGGGAGUACGGUCGCAAGACUGAAACUCAAAGGAAUUGACGGGGACCCGCACAAGCGGUGGAGCAUGUGGUUCAAUUCGACGCAACGCGAAGAACCUUACCUGGGCUAGAAUGCCUCUGACAACUCCAGAGAUGGAGCCUCUUAGGGAAACCUAGGCAGAGUGCAAGGUGCUGCAUGGCUGUCGU
rnacentral:rRNA from 1 species